AACGGAGUUUUCAGUGGAAGCCUUCGGGUGGAAGCUGUAAACUUAGUGGCGGACGGGUGAGUAACACGUGAGCAACCUGCCUUUGCGAGGGGAAUAACACCUGGAAACAGGUGCUAAUACCGCAUAAUGUUUUUGGAGGACAUCCUCUGAUGACCAAAGAUUUAUCGCGCAAAGAUGGGCUCGCGUCUGAUUAGAUAGUUGGUGAGGUAAUGGCCCACCAAGUCUGCGAUCANUAGCCGGACUGAGAGGUUGAUCGGCCACAUUGGGACUGAGACACGGCCCAGACUCCUACGGGAGGCAGCAGUGGGGAAUAUUGCACAAUGGGCGCAAGCCUGAUGCAGCGAUGCCGCGUGAGGGAAGACGGCCUUCGGGUUGUAAACCUCUGUCAUUGGGGACGAAUAAUGACUGUACCCAAGGAGGAAGCCACGGCUAACUACGUGCCAGCAGCCGCGGUAAUACGUAGGUGGCGAGCGUUGUCCGGAAUUACUGGGUGUAAAGGGAGCGUAGGCGGGCUUGCAAGUUGAAUGUUUAAUCUAUGGGCUCAACCCAUAGCUGCGUUCAAAACUGCAAGUCUUGAGUGGAGUAGAGGCAGGCGGAAUUCCUAGUGUAGCGGUGAAAUGCGUAGAUAUUAGGAGGAACACCAGUGGCGAAGGNGGCCUGCUGGGCUCUAACUGACGCUGAGGCUCGAAAGCGUGGGUAGCAAACAGGAUUAGAUACCCUGGUAGUCCACGCCGUAAACGAUGAUUACUAGGUGUGGGGGGACUGACCCCUUCCGUGCCGGAGUUAACACAAUAAGUAAUCCACCUGGGGAGUACGGUCGCAAGACUAAAACUCAAAGAAAUUGACGGGGGCCCGCACAAGCAGUGGAGUAUGU
rnacentral:rRNA from 1 species